CAGAAGUCUCCGCGGCCUCAGGAGGAAAACGGGCACUUCCAUCUCAAAAUUGCUCCGUCAGCACUCACGCUAAUGAUGUACUGAUUUCCUGGACUUAUCCGGAUGCUGGUGAUGUUGCCGCUGUGUCCCACCCCGACGACUCACCCGUGACGAAGUGCACUCCUUCCUGGGUGAUAUCCAUUCCAUUGACCGACCCAGACAAGGAACCUUCCAACUCUCUGAUGACCGACCCAUCAAAGACUUCCCAAGAGAAGGAGACUGUGCCAGUAAGCCCGGAUUGUGACAGAAAGCGCUUUAGGUGAGACCAAGCGCUCGGGAGUCCGAGGCAAGCUGUAAAUGAAGAAGGAAACAGCCACAGCAUCCACGUUCCCGGUUCAGCUCUCAGGGGAGGGCGUGGUGGAAGGGAAGCGUCUGCCUCCAGCUGCUGGGGGAGUGAGCCGCCCAGAGAGUUCUGUGGGCUCUGACUGCGAGCUCUUCCCCACCUCGCCCUAUUUCCAAGGUUCUGUUCUGCCACAAAGCAGUGAAACACCCCCCCCCCCCCAGCGUGGGGUCUAGAGGCAAAUUGAUAAUAUGGCCCCUCCUAGAUUAGGGAUGGGGAACAGAAGGGCAGGCGGGAGAGUGGGGGGUGCUAGAGGGAGGAGAUUUUUCUCUCAAUAUACUGCUUUUAUACUUCUUGAACUUUGAACUGUGUAAAUGAACAACCUAUUCAAAAAUUUUUCUUUUCUUUUUUUCCCCCCAGAUUUUAUUUACUUAUUUGACAGAGAGAGAGCACAAGCUGGGGGAUGGGGAG